ACAUGACUCUCGGCAAUGGAUAUCUCGGCUCUCGCAUCGAUGAAGAGCGCAGUGUAAAUCAAUACGUGGUGCGAAUUGCAGAAUCCCGUGAACCAUAAAGUUUUUGAACGCAAGUUGCGCCCGAGGCCAGCCGGCCAAGGGCACGUCCGCCUGGGCGUCA
rnacentral:rRNA from 1 species